UAGGGAUUUAAGUUUUUGAAUUUGGAUUUGUGAAAAGAGAGAUUAUAUUUACACACCCAAAAUUACUUAUUCCACACAUUUUAAAUUUUUUAAUAUUUUCUACACACCACUAACACUUGAUAGAAAAAUAUUAAAAAAUUAAAAAGGUGUGAGAUAAGUAAUUUGGGGUGUGUGAAUAUAAUCUCCCUUGUGAAAAUAGCUUUCUAGCUUGAAUACUUAUGUUAAUAGAAUGUUGUUUUAAGAAUCGGUUCGAGAGUGCUUUUGGGAAGAUGAAUUCUGGAAUCUGGUAUGCUCUUCUGUGUUCUCAAUUUCUGGGUUCUGUAAUUUGGUAUGCUUUUCUAGGUUCUCAAUUUCUGGGUUCCGGAAUCUAGUAUGUUCUGGGUUCUUAAAUUUCUAGGUUCUAGAAUCUUGGUUCUCAAUUUGAAUUUGGACUAUAUAUAUAUAUAUAUAUAUAUAUAUAUAUAUAUAUAUAUUUGUAAAUUAGCAGUAUUAGUAUAUGUAUUUGUACACUAGUUUAGCAGUUCUCCAACUUUUGUUGGCAUGUGUUCGUAAUGCUAGCUCUAAACAUCCAAACAUAUUAGCCCAUAAAUUACUUGUCUUCUCAUAAUACUUUUAUGGGUAAAGUACAAAAAACUACCUC
rnacentral:lncRNA from 1 species